rnacentral:rRNA from 1 species
GACGUAGGGCGCGAGCGUUGUCCGGAUUUAUUGGGCGUAAAGAGCUCGUAGGCGGCUUGUCGCGUCGUUCGUGAAAACCUGCGGCUCAACUGCAGGCCUGCGGUCGAUACGGGCAGGCUGGAGUUCGGUAGGGGAGACUGGAAUUCCUGGUGUAGCGGUGAAAUGCGCAGAUAUCAGGAGGAACACCGGUGGCGAAGGCGGGUCUCUGGGCCGAUACUGACGCUGAGGAGCGAAAGCGUGGGGAGCGAACAGG